rnacentral:tRNA from 1 species
UGUGCUGCGCCAGAAUGAAUGGAUUGAAUUGAUGUUUCAAAAUAUGGGUUUUUAGGCUCCGGCGCGU